rnacentral:rRNA from 1 species
UACGUAGGGUGCGAGCGUUAAUCGGAAUUACUGGGCGUAAAGCGUGCGCAGGCGGUGAUGUAAGACAGAUGUGAAAUCCCCGGGCUCAACCUGGGAACUGCAUUUGUGACUGCAUCGCUGGAGUGCGGCAGAGGGGGAUGGAAUUCCGCGUGUAGCAGUGAAAUGCGUAGAGAUGUGGAGGAAUACCGAUGGCGAAGGCAGCCCCCUGGGCCAACACUGACGCUCAUGCACGAAAGCGUGGGGAGCAAACAGG